AGGAGGAGCAUUUCUCUCUGCUUUCCUUCAGGUCCUAUUUGGUAGGAUGGCUUCUCGUGAAGUUGUUGACUUCUUCAAGAACCGAAGACUCAAUGAUGGACUGCUCAAGAAGAUGAAAACGACUUUGAUAUCUGUCAAAUCGCUCGAUGAUGCUGAGGAGAAGGAGAUUACGAAGCCAGCUGUAAAACAGUGGCUUGAAGAGCUUAAAAUAGCUGUCUAUGAAGCUGAUGACGUCCUUGAUGAGAUUGCCUAUGAAGCCCUUCGAUCAGAGAUAGAGGCUGAAUCCUAAACCAGCACAGAUCAGGUGCGGAACUUUUUUUCUUCUCUUAGUCCAUUUAAAAAUGAGAUAGAAGCGAAGUUAGAGGAGUUACUUGAAAGACUUGAGUAUUUA
rnacentral:misc_RNA from 1 species